rnacentral:SRP_RNA from 1 species
GCCAGGCAUGGGGGCGCAUGCCUGUAAUCCCAGCUACUCAGGAGGCUGAGACAGGAGAAUCUCUUGAACCUGGGAGGCUGAGGUUGCAGUGAGCCAAGAUGGUGCCACUGCACUCCAGCCUGGGCAACAGAGUGAGACUCUGUCUCAA